rnacentral:rRNA from 1 species
UACGAAGGGGGCUAGCGUUGCUCGGAAUCACUGGGCGUAAAGCGCACGUAGGUGGGUCGUUAAGUCGGGGGUGAAAUCCUGGAGCUCAACUCCAGAACUGCCUUCGAUACUGAGAGUCUCGAGUCCGGGAGAGGUGAGUGGAACUGCGAGUGUAGAGGUGAAAUUCGUAGAUAUUCGCAAGAACACCAGUGGCGAAGGCGGCUCACUGGCCCGGUACUGACGCUGAGGUGCGAAAGCGUGGGGAGCAAACAGG